rnacentral:rRNA from 1 species
GAUGAACGCUGGCUACAGGCUUAACACAUGCAAGUCGAGGGGAAACGACGGGGAAGCUUGCUUCCCCGGGCGUCGACCGGGGCACGGGUGAGUAACGCGUAUCCAACCUGCCUCUGACUGAGGGAUAACCCGUCGAAAGUCGGCCUAAUACCUCAUGGUAUCGUCUGCGGGCAUCCAACGACGAUUAAAGAUUUCAUCGGUCAGGGAUGGGGAUGCGUCUGAUUAGCUUGUUGGCGGGGUAACGGCCCACCAAGGCUACGAUCAGUAGGGGUUCUGAGAGGAAGGUCCCCCACAUUGGAACUGAGACACGGUCCAAACUCCUACGGGAGGCAGCAGUGAGGAAUAUUGGUCAAUGGGCGAGAGCCUGAACCAGCCAAGUAGCGUGCAGGAAGACGGCCCUAUGGGUUGUAAACUGCUUUUAUGCGGGGAUAAAGUGAGGGACGUGUCCCUCAUUGCAGGUACCGCAUGAAUAAGGACCGGCUAAUUCCGUG